UACGAGGGGGGCAAGCGUUGUUCGGAAUUAUUGGGCGUAAAGAGCUCGUAGGCGGUUUGUCGCGUCUGCUGUGAAAACGCGAGGCUCAACCUCGCGCCUGCAGUGGGUACGGGCAGACUAGAGUGCGGUAGGGGAGAUUGGAAUUCCUGGUGUAGCGGUGGAAUGCGCAGAUAUCAGGAGGAACACCGAUGGCGAAGGCAGAUCUCUGGGCCGUAACUGACGCUGAGGAGCGAAAGCAUGGGGAGCAAACAGG
rnacentral:rRNA from 1 species